CCCGUUCUGAUGGCCUGAGUAUUUUUAAUAAACCCUACUGGGACUCUGAUCUUGAGGAAAAAUAUUUACCGAGCUUUUGGCUUCUUCGAAAAAUUUCGUAAUACCGAAAUUUAGGGUUUUUCGCCCAAUUUCCGGUCUUCCUGUUGUGCUUCCAAAAGUGUCUUGCUUCAACAUCAUUUGAAUCAAUCUACUACAUUGUCUAACCAUUGUCCAGUGGCAUACUUGACUCAUGGUUCAGACAAGAACAAUAUGAUCAUCCGCGAC
rnacentral:lncRNA from 1 species